GCAAGGUAAUGCUAUAAAUGCUGAAGUGGCUGCACCUGGUGUGUAUGAGUGCCUUAGUUUGAAGCAAAGUGGCUGCUUCGUGUCAGGAUACCUGUGAGUCUGCAGGGAAAGGGAUUUCAUUCUGGGCUUGGCUCAGAUUGAGCAUUGUGCCACAACAAACAGGAGACCUUCCUGAUAGGGUGGGGAGAUGGCUGUUGCCUCUGUCUGCCAUAGCUUUUCUGUCCUUAUCUUGUGUCACCACCAGGCUUCCUGCCUGUGACACCCGUUUCUCUUUCUCUCUGCUUCUCAAGUGGCAGCCAGGGAGAUAAUUGGUAUUUUUGACACUGUCUGUUGAGCACUUUGUGGCAGGAGCUGCCAGGAUGAAGCCAUGAAUUAGAUAAUUAAAGUUAAUUAGAGGCUUUCCAGGGCUAUGUUACCAUACUCCAAGAGGACAGUGUGCUCUUUUCACAGCCAUUGUAGGGAAUGGUGUCUUUGGGAGAGAGGAGUAAGAGGUGUCAGUGGCACUGAUGGUGGUUGUGGUGGCCAAGAGAAGGGUGUUCCAGCUUCUUAGUGGCAUUGGAAGUGCUGGGGUGGAGCAAACAGCUCAGAAAAUUGAGAAGCAUGGUUGGAUGCAGACUGAAGUGAGAAGACAUGAUGGUGCAGCCAAGAGAACCAGUUGUCAGCAGCAGCUGUUGGGAUUCAGCUUUUGCUGCAGCAAAAGCAGUGGAUCUCUAAAACCUAUCAGGGAGAGUUGGAAGAAAGAGCUUGUCAGUGCAGCACCCAUAGAAACCAAGGCCUGAGUGAUCUCUAAAAGGCACUUGUCCACCCACACCUGCCAGAUGACAGCUCCAUUCUGGCAUGUGUGGCCUGCUUCUGCAAGAAGACAUCAUGGACCCUUCUAUGACCCCUGCUUCUCUAAGAAGCUUAGCUUGCCUGUGCUUGAGUGUGCAGUGGACAAGAGCACCAGAGCAGUGGUGGAGAGUGAAGGAGAGAAAUGAUUCUCCAGCUUUUGCUGUCCCCAUCAGACAAGCUGCUCUGUCAGCAUCCACUCUGCCAGUUCUGGGUUGUUUGUCUGUGGAGAUGAUGAGGAGACACUGCUCACUCAUCACCAUCCAAAUCCUUAACAGAGAAGGGGACACUAAUUUCUCCAGCUCUAUUGUGCAGUCACUGUGUGUCUGAAGGAGAAGCUGCCUGAGGCAGUUUAGGUGACA